ACAGAAUCGCAUAAAUUCUAGAACGAGAAGAUACGAGGUAAGAUAAAGGUGUGUAAUAGUAUCUACGAGAAUCGAAUUUCGUAUAGGAUGAGAUACAGAAAAAUAAAUGUGCCAUAACAAUCGACGAGGAUCGGGAACAAUGCUCCAGGUACGGCUAUUACAUCUUCGUAACAAAUGAGGAGACACGACUAGAUCUCCGGUCCCGUGAAUACAAAAGUUCACGAACGAGGAAAAGACGCAUCUCCGCUUUACGCGGGAAUCCCGCGAGUUAUUGAUUUCUGUUCCGCUUUCCUUCGGAAAAUUAUCUUCAUACCCGCCUGCAUUCUUUAAUGGACGAUAAAUUCGUGAGCGGUGCAUCGAAGACAUUCUCACACUUUUUCAAUCAACAACCUAACCCCUGGAUCCUGAGCUUUGUAUGCCGUGAAGGAACGAAGUUUUGAAUAAAACCGAAGAUCUCGAGAAAAAUAAAUUUGAAAAGAUCUUGAAGCUACGGAAGAUGCGAAGAUGCUAUUGAAGACAUCAAACUCUUGCUCUAUUUCUCAAAGAACAGGCCGUGCGCAUGGAAAUUUCAUUUUGUAUACGACAUCAUCCCUGUUCCAAGAUUCUGGCAGAUGAGUUGAACACACUCGAGCGCUUUCUACACUUUUUCACCAAAUAAUUUAUUACAGAGGAUGUAAGCCAACAGUUAAGGGUUUAAGCUUGGAAGAAACCCAACUUUUUGAGAAAAAUAAAUUUCAGGGAAUCUUGAACUUGCAGAAGACAAAAGGCGGACGAUGUUGAAGACACCGUUCUCUAUAAUGCACAGGCUAUUUAUGCUCUCUCCUCAGAAUUUAGCGAAACAAAGCACACACACACACACACAUUAAACCCUAUUUUAUUCAAUCCAGCAAUCCUGUUCAAAGAUUUUGGCAAUUAUGUAUUGUCUUCUGCGUUUAUUCGCCAAAUGAAUGAUCCAAAAAUGUGUAAGCCAAACCUUUUAAGAACAAUAAAAACAGGAUCUUGAACCUACAAUAGGCAGAAAAACAAUA